AUUGAACGCUGGCGGCAGGCCUAACACAUGCAAGUCGAACGAGUGGCGGACGGGUGAGUAAUGUCUGGGAAACUGCCUGAUGGAGGGGGAAAACUACUGGAAACGGUAGCUAAUACCGCAUACCAUCAGAUGUGCCCAUAUGGGAUGAGCGAGUUGGGGGGGGAACGGCUCACCAAGGCGACGAUCCCUAGCUGGUCUGAGAGGAUGACCAGCCACACUGGAACUGAGACACGGUCCAGACUCCUACGGGAGGCAGCAGUGGGGAAUAUUGCACAAUGGGCGAAAGCCUGAGGCAGCCAUGCCGCGUGUAUGAAGAAGGCCUUCGGGUUGGAAAGUACUUUCAGCGGGGAGGCGUUACCCGCAGAAGAAGCACCGGCUAACUCCGUGCCAGCAGCCGCGGUAAUUC
rnacentral:rRNA from 1 species